AUUGAACGCUGGCGGCAUGCCUUACACAUGCAAGUCGAACGGUAACGGGCCUUCGGGUGCCGCCGAGUGGCGAACGGGUGAGUAAUACAUCGGAACGUGCCCGAUCGUGGGGGGUAACGAGGCGAAAGCUUUGCUAAUACCGCAUACGAUCUACGGAUGAAAGCAGGGGACCGCAAGGCCUUGCUCGGACGGAGCGGCCGAUGGCAGAUUAGGUAGGUGGUGGGAUAAAAGCUUACCAAGCCGACGAUCUGUAGCUGGUCUGAGAGGAUGAUCAGCCACACUGGGACUGAGACACGGCCCAGACUCCUACGGGAGGCAGCAGUGGGGAAUUUUGGACAAUGGGCGCAAGCCUGAUCCAGCCAUGCCGCGUGCAGGAUGAAGGCCUUCGGGUUGUAAACUGCUUUUGUACGGAACGAAAAGCCUUCUUUUAAUACAGGAGGGUCAUGACGGUACCGUAAGAAUAAGCACCGGCUAACUACGUG
rnacentral:rRNA from 1 species